UACGUAGGUGGCAAGCGUUAUCCGGAUUUACUGGGUGUAAAGGGUGUGUAGGCGGAGAGGCAAGUCAGACGUGAAAACUACGGGCUCAACCCGUAACUUGCGUUUGAAACUGUUUCCCUUGAGUGUCGGAGAGGUAAAUGGAAUUCCCAGUGUAGCGGUGAAAUGCGUAGAUAUUGGGAGGAACACCGGUGGCGAAGGCGGUUUACUGGACGACAACUGACGCUGAGACACGAAAGUGUGGGGAGCAAACAGG
rnacentral:misc_RNA from 1 species